rnacentral:rRNA from 1 species
UAGAAUUUAUUAUUGGUUAAUAUAAUUUUUAUUAAUUUUAAAUUUGUUAUUAAAUUAUAAUAUAGAAUUUUAAAAUUUAAUUAAAUAUGAUAAAAUUAGUAUAUUUUAUUGUUUAUGAAAAAUUAAUUAAAAGGUUAAGUAAAAGAAUUCGGCAAAUUAUUUUUCACCUGUUUAAUAAAAACAUGGCUUUUUGAAUAUUAUUUAAAGUUAAGCCUGCUCAAUGAAAAUUUAAAUGGCUGCGGUAUUUUGACCGUACAAAGGUAGCAUAAUAAUUUGUUUUUUAAUUGAAAGCUGGAAUGAAUGGUUGGAUGAAAAAAUUACUGUUUCUAUUUAAGUUAAUUAGAAUUUUAUUAUUAAGUAAAAAAGCUUAAUUGAAAUUUAAAGACGAGAAGACCCUAUAGAGUUUUAUAAUUUUUAAUAUUUUUUUAUAAAGAAUUAAUAAAUUUAAUAUAAAUAAUUAUUUAAUUGGGGUGAUUUAAAAAUUUAAUAAACUUUUAUUUAAAAGAAGACAUUUAUUUAUGAAUCAUAUGAUCCUUAAGAUAGAUUAAAAGAGUAAAUUACCUUAGGGAUAACAGCGUAAUUUUUUUUUAGAGUUCAAAUCGAAAAAAAAGAUUGCGACCUCGAUGUUGGAUUAAAAUUAAAUUUUGGAGUAAAAGCUAAAAAUUUAGGUCUGUUCGACCUUUAAAAUUUUACAUGAUCUGAGUUUAAACCGGUGUGAGCCAGGUUGGAUUCUAUCUUAAAUAAAUUAAGAUAUUUUAGUACGAAAGGACCAAAUAUUUAAUUAAAAAUUGUUUUUAAGAAUAAAAUAAG